rnacentral:piRNA from 1 species
UCCAAGGUUGGUAAUAGGUCAGUUAGAC